UUGGACAAUGGAGGCAACUCUGAUCCAGCCAUGCCGCGUGAAGGCAUAAGGCCCUAUGGGUUGUAAACUUCUUUUAGACGGGACAAAACCCCUUUACGUGUAAAGGGUUGAUGGUACUGUCAGAAUAAGCAUCGGCUAACUUCGUGCCAACAGCCGCGGUAAUACGAAGGAUGCAAGCGUUAUCCGGAAUUAUUGGGUUUAAAGGGUGCGUAGGCGGACUAAUAAGUCAGUGGUGAAAGCCUGCAGCUUAACUGCAGAAUUGCCAUUGAUACUGUUAGUCUUGAGUACAGUUGAGGUCGGCGGAAUGGGUCAUGUAGCGGUGAAAUGCUUAGAUAUGACACAGAACACCGAUUGCGAAGGCAGCUUGCUAAGCUGUAACUGACGCUGAGGCACGAAAGCGUGGGGAGCA
rnacentral:rRNA from 1 species